AAAGAGAACUACAACUCUGCUGUUGAUCGCCUCCAGAUUGACAAUACACCAGACGUCGAAGGAGUGAAGUUCAGACAUCUCGGAAAUGGGGGACAGCAUAAGGAGUUCCAUUACUAAGGUGCUGCCGGACCUGUCUGCCUCAAUCCUUGAAAUUGUACUGGAGGAACUACAAUCAUUAGGAGUGGAGACAUCUGAGGACUUGCAGUUCAUCAGUGAGACUGAUCUGAACUCUGUCCUGAGACCAAUUCAGGCAAGAAAACUGCUGGCUGCCUGGAAACAAACCACACCAAAUACGGACAUUUCAAGCCAGGCCAGG